rnacentral:rRNA from 1 species
UACAGAGGGGGCAAGCGUUAUUCGGAAUUAUUGGGCGUAAAGGGCGCGUAGGCGGCUUUGCAAGUGACGUGUGAAAUCCCUCGGCUUAACUGAGGAACUGCACGGGAAACUGCCUGGCUUGAGUUCGGGAGAGGGAAGCGGAAUUCCGGGUGUAGCGGUGAAAUGCGUAGAUAUCCGGAGGAACACCGGUGGCGAAGGCGGCAUCCUGGACCAAUUCUGACGCUGAGGAGCGAAAGCCAGGGGAGCAAACGGG